rnacentral:rRNA from 1 species
GGAUUGCAGGCUGAAACUCGCCUGCAUGAAGCUGGAAUUGCUAGUAAUCAUAGGUCAGCAUACUAUGGUGAAUACGUUCCCGGGCCUUGUACACACCGCCCGUCACACCAUGAGAGUUGAGAAUACCCGAAGUCCAUGUCAAAGUGGCCGAAGGUAGGCUUGAUGAUUGGGGUGAAGUCGUAACAAGGUACC